CUACGCGCAUUAGCAUCCGUAUCGACUCCAGCCGCCUGUGCACGGUUAUCAGUGCCCACACCACGAACACCACCACCACCACCAUUCCUUUCCUUCCUUCCUUCCUUCCUUCCUUCCACGCGCACAUACAGAAAAGCGCGCACACGUCUAUACAUGCGUGUGUGUGUGUGUGUGUGUGUGUGUGUGUGAACGCGCGCAAGCAUCGGCCCCUUCUUCUCGGAUCCCUGUGACGCCGUCAUGAGCAGUGCCUCGAAGUCGGCGGGAGCCGCUCUGUCCUGGUCUUCUUCUUCGCCGGCGCCGUCUGCUGCUCCCACCGCAGUCGCAGUCCCAACCGGCACGCCAGCGGAGCCGGCCACCGCCACCGCCGCGACGGACAAGGACGGCGCCGAGGCGGAGCCGCGGCGGCGUGGCUGGAAGCCCAUCAAAGAUGGGCGCUUCCGCAUCGCCCUCACCCAUCACCACGCCAGCAGUGACGAUGACACCGGAGCGGCGCUAUCGUCUUUCACGAACGCCGCCCCGGAGGAUCUCAGCGGCGCCGCCGCGGCGUCGUCGCUCUGCGAAAAGGUCUGCCGCACCCUCUCGGACAACGCACGGUGCAAUGAAUGCCGCCCCGGCGAGCCGCACAUCGAGGUCUGUGUUGAAGCAUCGCUGGUGAACGCAAUCAACAGUGCGUACACCUCCACAGGAUACCCUUUCGUCGUCACCGCCGGCAGCACACGCGGCGCCGUCUACGGCUCCUUCAUCGACCUCAGCAACCCGUCCCUCAGCUCCCUCGAGCUGCCGCCGCCGCAGUCUAUCGUUGUGGCCCCGAGCUACGUUGGCGACGCUGAUCGUACGCCGGCGCGCGGCCUGACGGAGAUGGACACAUUGCUGGCGAUCCGCUGGAGCCGCGGCGACCGCAUCAUGAAGACUGCCGAGGCGGCCCCCACCGUCGCCGUCGCCGCCGCCGCGCAGGCGAAGCAGACCCCACCCACGAUAGCUGCCGGAGCCGCCGGCAGUCCGUACACGUCAGUCGUCGCACGCACCAUUGCGCACCACCUCUCUCAGUUUCCGGAGGGCAUCCACGCCAUCCACUCGUCUCCGGCGCUGCGGCAGCUCCUGGUAGAGGGCACGCUGCCGACAACGCUGGCAAGCACGCCUUCGGCGCCGGUGAACGCGGCAGCGCACGCGCCGGCCUCGGCGAGCGGCGGCGCUGGUAGCCGCAGCGCUGCGGCAGCAGCGCCAUCCACCACCACCUCCACGGCGCCGGAGUUGUCGAACGCAGAGGCGAAUGUGCCACCGCUGCCGACGCCGCCGCAGAGCAACGCCCCUGUUCAGCACACGCUCGUCAGCGCGAGCACCUUCAACCACAUCUCCGUCUACUUCGUUGCCCACCAGGACGGGAAGCUACUCUACACGGCGCCGAUACAGAGCCUCUCCGCCAGUAUUGCGACGCGCAAGGUGACGGCACACCAACUCAUUCUGGUAGGGCGGGAGGAAGUGGAUGCGCUCGUGGAGGACCCCUUCACACCGUUCCCGACGAUGCCUCCACGGCGUACCCGCAUCGCCUUCGCGCAUGUUCCGGUUGCCGGCGAAGAGGCCGCCGUCUUCUUCGCCUCGAAGACGUCGCGCUUCGUCGGCGCGGAUGCCCGCAAGAAGACCGUUGCCGCCGCCCCGGUCCGCUUCAGCGUCGAGCCUCACCUUCUCAUCGGCAACCAGAACGGCGACAUCUUCUUAUUCAGUCUCCUGCAAGAGCGGAUUGUGCAGCACCUGAACUACAGCGCCGGCCGACCGAGCGCGAGCGCCUCCAUCGCCAGCGGCAGCAAGGGGGCGGGCAGCAAGCUGGUCUGCUCCCCCGUCUCGUGCAUCGCAGAGGUGCAGAACGGCAUCGAGAAGAAGGUCACGCGCAUGGUCGAGUCCGCCGCCAUGGCGAAGCGCAACCGCCGACGGUCCUUCGGCAGCGACGGCAUCCCGACCGGCUUCAACGCCGUCGCCCAUGCCGCGGCACCGUCGCACUACUACUACGACGUUCCCCCGUCCCUCUACGCGGUCGGCUUCGACGAUGGCCAGAUGCUGAUCGUGGGCGUCACGUGCGAAGGCGGGUGGAUGCUGCGGCAUCUCAACAACCACCACUUCGGAAUGCGGCCGAUCCACUCCAUCGCAGUGCGGGUGCCGUCCUUCUACGCACGGCUGUGGACCAGCUACCUGCCCCCCAUCACCUUCGCGGACCGCGGCAGCAAGUCCGAGGUAGCAGCACUGCCGCCCAUCACGACCCUCAUCACGGUCGAGUCGGCGCUCAUUGUGCACGAGGAGGAGCAGCUCGUGGCCGCCAUAUCGUGUAAUGGCGGUUCCAUUGCGCUGGUGCGGCUGCCCGGGAUGGAGAUCAUCUCCUCUGUUGCCCCGACCGCCUACAACGCCGUCGGCGAGAUUCUGGCGCUGCAGUGGACCGCCACGUCGCCGCGCUACCUGCUGACGCCAGACAUCCUCGUCGCCUCCGGCGAGGACGACACGAUGACGGCCUUUCAGCUGCUCACGCAGCUCCUCGUGAACACAAGCGAUUGGAGCCACCACAAUGGCAACGACAACGUGUCGCGCAUGUCGUCCACGGAGUCCGUGCCGGCAAACGCCCGGCUGCGCAUCCUCGAGAAGAAGCAGUUCCACCGCAGCUGGGUCAGCCGGUUGAACUUGAUGCCGGUGGUCGUGCCCGCCGCGACGGCCAACGCAAAGGACGCUGGCCGGUCGAACAGCGGCGGCAUGCCGCAGUACCUCGGCGUGUGCCUCGUUGCCUCCUCCUAUGACCACCGCACCUCUUUCUGGCCGUACAUGUUCAGUGGGCAGCAGCGGAGGGCCGGUGAGGCGGAAGGCCCGGACAGCGCCAACGCUGCGGCAUCAGCGUGGAGCGUUGGUGAGGGUGCCGGCAGUGUGGAGCAUGCGGACUCGCUGAUGUUGGGCCUCACCAGCAACAGCGUCCCCUUCGGCACGAUUUCGGUGCCGGAUCGGUAUGUGCUCGUCGACGGCCCGACGACAGCGUACCCGCUGCACCCGGAACUCGUCAUCGACGCUGCGGCCGCCGGCGCCGGCACAAGCUUCUUCCUGACGACAGUGUGCUGCCGUGGCAAGCUAAAGUUCUGGUCCGUCCAGGUGAAGGUCUAGUCGCCCGUGUUUUCUGUGUGGACCAUUGGGAGCACUUGAUCGUCACGGGCACUUGAACGUGGUGUCUGGCCGCGGGGUGCGCACGGCUCUUGUCGUGGAUGCCGUCCGUCACAGCGUAGGACUGCAUCCCCUCCCCUCGCUCGUGCCGCUUCUUGUGUGCUUACGUGUGCACGGGUGGCGGUGGUGAAGUGUGUCUGCAUCUCCGAGCCAGUGUGUUGGAGGGGCGGCGGCGGACGAGGACGAGGACGAGGAGAGGGAGGGAGGGAGGGAGGAAGGGGGAGAGAUGCGUAGAGCUCGGUGGGCGACGGUGAUCCCUCGCGUCGUCGUCGUCGCCGUCGCUAUCAUUCUUUUCCACGCGGUAGCGUCAGCUCCCACCUCCUGCGCUCCCUAUAGAUAACGCCCCGCUGAUCGCGCGCCCUUUGGGCUCCACCACACCCCCUCUCCCUAUUCCAACCCCAUCCGCCGCUUGCGGCAGAUGGGGUGUGUCGGCCGUCUCUUGUCGUGUGCAGCAUCGUACACG
rnacentral:misc_RNA from 1 species